CCCUCCUCAGGAUCGCACCUGGAGAGUUCCCAGUACUCUACCAGUCUUGCCUACAGGAAGGAGAGUCAAGCAGAGGCAUACACAUUCCAUUCCUAGCCUGGGCAGUGGCUAGUCAGCGGAAGACAAUCUGCUACAGUC